rnacentral:tRNA from 1 species
AAAGACCAUAAAUAAGGCUGCUAACCUUUAAACAAUGAAAUCAUUUGGUCUUUU